rnacentral:rRNA from 1 species
GAUGAACGCUGGCGGCGUGCUUAACACAUGCAAGUCGAACGGAAAGGCGAGGUUCUUGCUGCUCUCACGUUAGCGGCGGGCGGGUGAGUCACCCGAGGAUACCCUACCUAUGAGACUGGGAUAACUACGGGACACCGGAUCUAAUACCGGAUAAGAUAUUGAACCGCAGGGUCCUUUAGUGAAAGCCGGUUUUGCGGUCCCUAAUAGAUGGAUCCGGGCCGGAUUAGCUAGUUGGUACGGUAACGGCUUACCAAGGCUACGAUGCGUAGCCGACCUGAGAGGGGGAUCGGCCACACUGGAACUGAGACACGGUCCAGACUCCUACGGGAGGCAGCAGUAGGGAAUGUUCGGCAAUGGGCGAAAGCUUGACGGAGCAACGCCGCGUGAGUGAUGAAGGCCUUCGGGUCGUAAAGCUCUGUUAGCAGGGAAGAACAGAUGUGUAAUAAAACAAGGAUGCGUUGACGGUACCUGCUGAAAAAGCACCGGCUAACUACGUG